CAGUCGCCGCGGUAAUACGGAGGGAGCUAGCGUUGUUCGGAAUUACUGGGCGUAAAGCGCACGUAGGCGGCUUUGUAAGUUAGAGGUGAAAGCCUGGAGCUCAACUCCAGAAUUGCCUUUAAGACUGCAUCGCUUGAAUCCGGGAGAGGUGAGUGGAAUUCCGAGUGUAGAGGUGAAAUUCGUAGAUAUUCGGAAGAACACCAGUGGCGAAGGCGGCUCACUGGACCGGCAUUGACGCUGAGGUGCGAAAGCGUGGGGAGCAAACAGGAUUAGAUACCCCAGUAGUCCCUGUCUCUUAUAC
rnacentral:rRNA from 1 species